UAAGGAAUAUUGGACAAUGGAGGCAACUCUGAUCCAGCCAUGCCGCGUGAAGGAAUAAGGCCCUAUGGGUUGUAAACUUCUUUUAGACGGGACAAAACCCCUUUACGUGUAAAGGGUUGAUGGUACUGUCAGAAUAAGCAUCGGCUAACUUCGUGCCAGCAGCCGCGGUAAUGCGAAGGAUGCAAGCGUUAUCCGGAAUUAUUGGGUUUAAAGGGUGCGUAGGCGGACUAAUAAGUCAGUGGUGAAAGCCUGCAGCUUAACUGCAGAAUUGCCAUUGAUACGGUUAGUCUUGAGUACAGUUGAGGUAGGCGGAAUGUGUCAUGUAGCGGUGCAAUGCUUAGAUAUGACACAGAACACCGAUUGCGAAGGCAGCUUGCUAAGCUGUAACUGACGCUGAGGCACUAAAGCGUGGGGAGCAAACA
rnacentral:rRNA from 1 species